rnacentral:lncRNA from 1 species
CCGGAUUAACUCAGGUAAGGGGGGUUGAUCGUCGUUUAAUGGGUAUUAUGGGUUAACAUGUAAUGGGUAGUAAUAAGCCAUUGAAUUGACCCUAAUUGGGAUGAUGAGUGCUGAAAAAUUGUGAUGAAUAAGUUAUGUUAAACCUGUAAUUGAACCUAUAUUUGGGUGAGUUGUGAUUUUCCGAACGUGUAGCUUUUUACGGAAUUGGAAUCGGAGGUCCGGAAGUCCUCCAACGGGGAAAAAUGCGGGAAAUUCUGCAUUCUGUU